rnacentral:snRNA from 13 species
AUCAAUAAAACUUUUCCAAAAGAAAAAUCUGUUCUUAUCAGUUUAAUAUCUGAUACGUCCCCCAUCGGGGGACUACAUAUUAAAUGGAUUUUUCGAACAGGGAGUCGGAAAUGGGGCUUGCUCCGUCCGCUCCACGCAUCGACCCGGUAUUGCAGUACCUCCGGGAACGGUGCAACACUU